UACGGAGGGUGCAAGCGUUGUUCGGAAUCACUGGGCGUAAAGGGCGUGUAGGCGGUCCGCUAAGUCUAUUGUGAAAGCUCCCGGCUUAACUGGGAGAGGUCAAUGGAAACUACCAGGCUGGAGUGCGGUAGAGGUAGCUGGAAUUCCCGGUGUAGCGGUGAAAUGCGUAGAUAUCGGGAGGAAUACCUAUGGCGAAAGCAGGCUACUGGACCGUCACUGACUCUGAUCUGCGAAAGCUAGGGGAGCAAACAGG
rnacentral:rRNA from 1 species